UUCCAUGUACUCUUCCAUAAACAUCUCCAGACCUGACUGCAGCUUGGUUUUGGGGGUUUGGGGGUUGCCAAGUUCCUGGGGGAGUCAAUUUAUGGGUGGUUCUCCUCAACCAAAGAAUUUGACAUGAUCGAAAAUGCAGUGCCUCAUUUCCUCAUCUCUGAGUCAGACACCCUGCCUUUAAGGAGACGUCCGUCAGUGUCUGUGAUCAAAGAUAAUCAUCCACAGACAGUGAACUUCACAGGACAGAGAACACAAAUGUGGCACGCUUCAAGUAUCUUUAGUACAUGACAGCGCUCCUUGCUUCCUUCUGCACAGCCUUGGGCUUGUCUGCUUCCCAUUCCAACAUGCAGGUCCUCAUUACCUGAUUGGACGCCACUGAUUACCUGCCAACUGGAUUGGCUGCAGGUAUUCAUCAUCUGUGAUGACUGGGCCAAUUUAGAGGCCGAUCCUAAUCAGGGUUGUUGAGGGACAGGAGAGCAUCGCAGCAGCAGCAGCAGGCCUGGUUCGAAGUUCUCCACAGGAAGUUAACUCCUCACUGUACAGUGCAAGGACUAUGUGUUUCCCGACCAACACUGGCAAACAUCAGGUCUCCGUGUGUGACUGUACAAAGUCUUCCUCCAGGGCUGUUUUGUUGAUGCCUGUUUGAAAAGGUGUUGAAAAAGGAAUCACCCUCUGGAGGCAACUAAAGGUGUGAACAUCAUGAAACAACGUGAACUGCACGGGGACCAAAACUGUGAGGCAUCCAGCCAUCUAUCACCCCUUCAGGACAAAUACCAGCUGAGCCAGUCCAGCAGGCCCAGUCGCCAGGUCACAGCCAGGAGGACCAGAAGCAGAGGAGCCCAUGGGGCCCGGGGCCAGCGGCUGGAGAGGCAGCUGA